rnacentral:lncRNA from 1 species
AGUAAUCUGAGAGUUUAGAAGAGAUUAGAGAAGUAUGAGAGAUGAUUUAGAGUAAGAGAUUAGAUCAAGAGACUAAGAGAAAUGCCAUGGAGGCUAAGAGUAAUCUGAACUGUCUAAUCUUUAUUAAGAGAUGAGGUUACAUAUUUAUAGUCUAAGCAACAAGGGUUUUCGAAAACCUAAUUAGAGACUCUAAGCAUGUGAAGUCAAAUGGAUAAGGCUGGCCGAGUUUGAAUCCAUCCAAUGAAGGCUCUCACACGUUUGAUGCCUUUGGGAUCUUUGGCUAAAGUAGCUUUUGCCUUUCCAGCUGUGCCAGUCUGUCAAGGCGCCUCUUAUCCC